AACCCAUACAUCAGACAUUUUCGCAAUAAUUCUUUAAAUCUUUCCCAAGCUUCGUACAGUGUUUCAUCCUUUUAUUUUUGAAAAGACGUGAUGUCAUUUCUAAGCUU
rfam:Gossypium hirsutum cultivar TM-1 chromosome 12, whole genome shotgun sequence